rnacentral:rRNA from 1 species
UACGUAGGGGGCAAGCGUUGUCCGGAUUUAUUGGGCGUAAAGAGCGCGUAGGCGGCCAGUCAGGUCCGUUGUGAAAACUCGAGGCUCAACCUCGAGAUGUCGAUGGAAACCGUCUGGCUAGAGUCCGGAAGAGGAGUGUGGAAUUCCUGGUGUAGCGGUGAAAUGCGUAGAUAUCGGGAGGAACACCAGUGGCGAAGGCGACUUCCUGGCCUGUUCUUGACGCUGAGGCGCGAAAGCUAGGGGAGCAAACGGG